rnacentral:rRNA from 1 species
GACGAACGCUGGCGGCGUGCUUAACACAUGCAAGUCGAACGAAAAGGCCCGGCUUUUGUGUGUUUCUCGAUUGGCGAACGGGUGAGUAUCACGUGAGUAACCUGCCCUUGUCUUUGUGGUAACUUCAGGAAACUGGGGCGGAUACCGGAUAUGAUCUCCUGCUGCAUGUUGUGCAUUGGAGAAUUUCGGCGGUGCGGGCUGGACUCGCGGCUUAUCAGCUUGUUUGUGGGGUAGUUGCUUACCAAGGCUUUGACGGGUAGCCUGCCUGAGAGGGUGACCGGGCACAUUGGGACUGAGAUAGGGCGCAGAAUCGUACGGGAGGCAGUAGUCGGGAAUAUUGCAAAAUGGGCGGAAGCCUGAUGUAGCAACGCCGCGUGCGGGAUGACGGCCUUUGGGGUGUAAACAGCUUUCGAAGGUGACGAAGAGUGCGUGACGGUAAUGGGUAAAGAAGCAACGGCUAACUACGUG